AAAGGCUGGUGCUCGGCAGGAGGAGGACGCGGGCUGGGGCCGUGGGGCGGCGUGAGGGUAGCCCGGGAGCGGUGAGGAGCGUGCGAGGCCCACGUGAGCGGAGGGACGCGGCCGCUCUCACCUUUCCUGAGGGCCCUGGCCCGGCUUUGGACUCCUGAUUCUCCUCUGCUUGCCAGCUGCCGCCCCGCCUCCGCCAGUGGUGCCCGGGCUGCCUGCGCGGCCGGAGUGAACGCGUCCCGGGAGCAGGGGUUUCUCCGAAGUGAGUGCGCCAGCCCCGGGACGAGCUCGUUCGAGUCCUCACCGCCCAGUGCACUUCCUGAAAGCCGGCGGUGGGCUGUCUCCCACCUUGUGAAACUUUGCCAGGUGUCGCUCACAGGGGACUGGGUCCGGACGCGGGUGGCGGCG
rnacentral:lncRNA from 1 species